UAAGUUCCGACCUGCACGAAUGGCAUAAUGAUGGCGGCGCUGUCUCCAGCAGAGGCUCAGUGAAAUCGAAAUCGCUGUGAAGAUGCAGUGUACCCGCGGCUAGACGGAAAGACCCCGUGAACCUUUACUGCAGCUUGACACUGAACUUUGACCUUACUUGUGUAGGAUAGGUGGGAGGCUUUGAAGCUGGAACGCUAGUUCCAGUGGAGCCGUCCUUGAAAUACCACCCUGGUAAUGUUGAGGUUCUAACUCUGUCCCGUGAUCCGGGACGAGGACCGUGUCUGGUGGGUAGUUUGACUGGGGCGGUCUCCUCCUAAAGAGUAACGGAGGAGUACGAAGGUGCGCUCAGCGUGGUCGGAAAUCACGCGUAGAGUAUAAAGGCAAAAGCGCGCUUAACUGCGAGACCCACAAGUCGAGCAGGUACGAAAGUAGGUCUUAGUGAUCCGGUGGUUCUGUAUGGAAGGGCCAUCGCUCAACGGAUAAAAGGUACUCUGGGGAUAACAGGCUGAUACCGCCCAAGAGUUCAUAUCGACGGCGGUGUUUGGCACCUCGAUGUCGGCUCAUCUCAUCCUGGGGCUGAAGCAGGUCCCAAGGGUAUGGCUGUUCGCCAUUUAAAGAGGUACGCGAGCUGGGUUUAGAACGUCGUGAGACAGUUCGGUCCCUAUCUACCGUGGGCGCUGGAAAUUUGAGAGGAUCUGCUCCUAGUACGAGAGGACCAGAGUGGACGAACCUCUGGUGUACCGGUUGUGACGCCAGUCGCAUCGCCGGGUAGCUAUGUUCGGAAGGGAUAACCGCUGAAAGCAUCUAAGCGGGAAGCCUACCUCAAGAUAAGAUUUCCCUAGGACUUUAUGUCCUCUAAAGAGCCGUUCGAGACUAGGACGUUGAUAGGUUGGAUGUGGAAGCAUAGUGAUAUGUGAAGCUGACCAAUACUAAUUGCUCGUGAGGCUUGACUAUACAACACCCAAGCAGUUG
rnacentral:rRNA from 1 species